rnacentral:rRNA from 1 species
UCGAGGAUCUUCGGCAAUGGGCGCAAGCCUGACCGAGCGACGCCGCGUGCGGGAUGAAGGCCUUCGGGUUGUAAACCGCCGUCGGAGGGGAGGAAAUGCCAAGGGGUUCUCCCUUUGGUUUGACCUAUCCUCAGAGGAAGUACGGGCUAAGUUCGUGCCAGCAGCCGCGGUAAGACGAACCGUACGAACGUUAUUCGGAAUCACUGGGCUUCAAGGGUGCGUAGGCGGCCCGGAAAGUUGGGUGUGAAAGCCCUCGGCUCAACCUAGGAAUUGCGCCCAAAACUACCGGGCUCGAGGGAGACAGAGGUGAGCGGAACUUAGGGUGGAGCGGUGAAAUGCGUUGAUAUCCUAAGGAACACCAGGAGCGAAAGCGGCUCACUGGGUCUCUUCUGACGCUGAGGCGCGAAAGCUAGGGGAGCGAACG